UACGUAGGGUGCGAGCGUUGUUCGGAUUCACUGGGCGUAAAGGGUGCGUAGGUGGUGAGGUAAGUCGGAUGUGAAAUCUCCAAGCUCAACUUGGAAACUGCAUUGGAAACUACCUUGCUAGAGGAUUUGAGGGGGGAUUGGAAUACUUGGUGUAGCAGUGAAAUGCGUAGAUAUCAAGUGGAACACCAGUGGCGAAGGCGAAUCCCUGGAAAAUACCUGACACUGAGGCACGAAAGCUAGGGGAGCAAACAGG
rnacentral:rRNA from 1 species